rnacentral:rRNA from 1 species
UACGUAGGGUGCGAGCGUUGUCCGGAAUUAUUGGGCGUAAAGAGCUUGUAGGCGGUUUGUCGCGUCUGCCGUGAAAAUCCGGGGCUCAACCCCGGACUUGCGGUGGGUACGGGCAGACUAGAGUGUGGUAGGGGAGACUGGAAUUCCUGGUGUAGCGGUGAAAUGCGCAGAUAUCAGGAGGAACACCGAUGGCGAAGGCAGGUCUCUGGGCCGCAACUACUGACGCUGAGAAGCGAAAAGCGUGGGGAGCGAACAGG